CCUACGGGAGGCAGCAGUGAGGAAUAUUGGUCAAUGGGCGGGAGCCUGAACCAGCCACGUCGCGUGCAGGAAGAAUGUCCUAUGGAUUGUAAACUGCUUUUGUAGGGGAAUAAUUGUAUCCACGUGUGGAUAUUUGCAUGUACCUUACGAAUAAGGAUCGGCUAACUCCGUGCCAGCAGCCGCGGUAAUACGGAGGAUCCGAGCGUUAUCCGGAUUUAUUGGGUUUAAAGGGUGCGUAGGCGGACUUAUAAGUCAGCGGUGAAAUUUUGCAGCUUAACUGCAAACGUGCCGUUGAAACUGUAGGUCUUGAGUGUAGAUAAGGUAGGCGGAAUGUGUUGUGUAGCGGUGAAAUGCAUAGAUAUGACACAGAACCCCGAUUGCGAAGGCAGCUUACCGGGUUACCACUGACGCUGAUGCACGAAAGCGUGGGGAUCAAACAG
rnacentral:rRNA from 1 species